GUGUGGGAGACAGGACUCGCCUUAAACUAACUCCGGGCUGCCGGGAAGACAUCUGCUCCAUUUUGGCGGCCGCGGGCAGGGGAGCCCGUGCGGAGGUCGCUGCUGUUCCCCGCGUCAGCGGGCCGGGGAGGGAAGGGCUCUCCUGCUCAGCCCCGCUGCUCAGAGCGGCCCCUCUCGGAGCCCAGGCGCCGCAGGAAGGAGCGAGCUCGGCGCGCUGCGGCCUGUGCCCGCGUUCCUGGGUCACACGGCCUCGCGGGGAGAUGGCUUAAUUUAGACAGAGUGGGUGGUGAUGAGAUAGCGUGUGCCGGGCCAGCAGAAUUACAAUGCGUGCGGCUGGGGCCUUUGGACAGGCAGGAGAAUCCAAACUCCAGACCUCGUCUGACAGCACAUCCCUGUGCCAAAAAGGCCAAAGGAGUUGUAAUUGCUGUCAGAAAUGAGCUUUCAGCAGGCCUCUGAGAGGAGAGGCAGUGAAGAAAAAAACAAUCCUUCUUUUCCUUGGCCCCAAAGUGCCUGUAAACUUUGACCUGCUGACAGAGAAAGGGCACUGGUGGAAAGGGUGUGCUGUGCAGUCAUGACCUCUGCUAAUGGACCUCCUGCUCAGUACUGCCACCG
rnacentral:lncRNA from 12 species